GCAGUCGAGCGGAACGAGAUAUCUGAACCUUCGGGGAACGAUAUCGGCGUCGAGCGGCGGACGGGUGAGUAAUGCCUGGGAAAUUGCCCUGAUGUGGGGGAUAACCAUUGGAAACGAUGGCUAAUACCGCAUAAUAGCUUCGGCUCAAAGAGGGGGACCUUCGGGCCUCUCGCGUCAGGAUAUGCCCAGGUGGGAUUAGCUAGUUGGUGAGGUAAGGGCUCACCAAGGCGACGAUCCCUAGCUGGUCUGAGAGGAUGAUCAGCCACACUGGAACUGAGACACGGUCCAGACUCCUACGGGAGGCAGCAGUGGGGAAUAUUGCACAAUGGGCGCAAGCCUGAUGCAGCCAUGCCGCGUGUGUGAAGAAGGCCUUCGGGUUGUAAAGCACUUUCAGUCGUGAGGAAGGUAGUGUGUUUAAUAGAUGCAUUAUUUGACGUUAGCGACAGAAGAAGCACCGGCUAACUCCGUGCCAGCAGCCGCGGUAAUACGGAGGGUGCGAGCGUUAAUCGGAAUUACUGGGCGUAAAGCGCAUGCAGGUGGUGUGUUAAGUCAGAUGUGAAAGCCCGGGGCUCAACCUCGGAAUUGCAUUUGAAACUGGCAUACUAGAGUACUGUAGAGGGGGGUAGAAUUUCAGGUGUAGCGGUGAAAUGCGUAGAGAUCUGAAGGAAUACCGGUGGCGAAGGCGGCCCCCUGGACAGAUACUGACACUCAUAUG
rnacentral:rRNA from 1 species